GGGGGCUAUCCCUGCAUGAAAAUGUGUCUCGUGUCUCCCCUCAUGCCACUGUUCCCACGUGAGAAUAAGGAGUAGUGUGAAGCCUCUGUAGGGCCAUACCCAAUACACCAACAACAGGCACCCGUGGGUACCAACAUAUGCACUAACACCCGACACCAGGUACAGCCCCCCACCAUGAGCUUCUUUGUACAGCACUCGAGGGACCCCCCAGUCGAUGAGACCCCCCUCUCCUAGAGUCUACCAACCGGAUGGCCUCUUAACCUCCAAUGUCCCGGCAGAGUCUCAGUAAAUCAGACAUGGCGCCUCUGUGGGCCUCCUCUAUCGCCAGCCACUUCUCCUAAGCAUGGUCCACAUGGCCCCGCAGCCACCGGUCCACCGCAGUCCCCCACAAUCCAGCCGGCCAGCGUCACAGCAACGGACAGCUACACCCUCUAGGCCUCCGGAUGCCACUGCUUGUGGGCAAUCCCCUCGUUGCACCUGAGUGAUACGUCGGCAGUUUCCUGGGUGAGUGUGUUGAGAGUCGUCUUAUCCACUCCUUGGUAAGGCAGGAAGGGAGUUUUCACAGUGUGGGUGCUGCCUCCCAUAUAGCGGCUGGGUACAUACAGGCAAAGCUAUGUCCAACAUCUCGCAAUUGCAGGCUGAGAAACAUGAACUUGUGCGUGGAAACUUGCGGUAUAAAACUUGCAGUUUAAAACCAGGAAACAAGUGACUGGAAUAAACCCCCCGGUUCUGGGGAGGUGCAGGGCUGCAGUGUGGUCUCUCCGGUCACCUUUUGUACAUUGGGAAAGACAGGUACUGCCAUAUCAUGAUUGUUCACGGAGCAUGUGCAGAGUGUUUCCAAUCUCAGCAAUAGGCCGCAUGUUCAUGCCAUCAAGUAGGCCCGUGCCUUCAUAUUCCUCACAUUUGUGGGGUCUGUAGCUGCCGACUGGUCUCCUUGUAAUGCUGGCUGGUUUCUCUAUUCAGAUAUAUUCUUUUGAGGGGCAGAUGGUCGGUUUAUGAGUGGUAAAUCAGUGUUUAUUUGGGCUCAGGACCGGAGCUGCAUGAGUGGCUUCCUUUCAG